CCUACGGGGGGCAGCAGUGGGGGAUAUUGCACAAUGGGGGAAACCCUGAUGCAGCGACGCCGCGUGGGUGAAGAAGUAUUUCGGUAUGUAAAGCCCUAUCAGCAGGGAAGAAAGAAGACGGUACCUGACUAAGAAGCCCCGGCUAACUACGUGCCAGCAGCCGCGGUAAUACGUAGGGGGCGAGCGUUAUCCGGAUUCACUGGGUGUAAAGGGAGCGUAGACGGCCGUGCAAGCCAGGAGUGAAAGCCCGGGGCCCACCCCCGGGACUGCGCUUGGAACUGUGCGGCUGGAGUGCGGGAGGGGCAGGCGGAAUUCCUGGUGUAGCGGUGAAAUGCGUAGAUAUCAGGAGGAACACCGGCGGCGAAGGCGGCCUGCUGGACCGCGACUGACGUUGAGGCUCGAAAGCGUGGGGAGCGAACAGUAUUAGAUACCCUAGUAGUC
rnacentral:rRNA from 1 species